rnacentral:lncRNA from 1 species
AGGAGCCGCGUCCCGCUGCCACUUUCCCGGCGCGGCCGCUGGCUUCGGACGGGAGAGGCGCCGCGGUCGCCGCCCGCCUCUUUAUGGAAACUACACAGAAGCCCCAUGCAAGUGGUGCCUAUUGUUUUCAUGAUCGGAGACUUCUUUCUGUAAGUACAUUGAUUUUUUUUUCCUGUUUAUUUUAUUUUUCCUUAGAAUGUAAUUGAAAUCUCUGUUUUGCUGUCAAAAUGAAUAAGGAAAUAUAUUAGCUUUCACAACUUGCCUUGCUGAUGGUGGAUCUCAAGACACACAGACCAUAUGUACACGGU